ensembl:lncRNA
AAUGCUCUUUUGAACACAUCACUUCCCUGUACCCAUGGGACAAAGGCAACAGGAAGGGCUGCCACUCACAGGCCACACCUAUUCCUUAGUGAAGGAGAUCUGAGCAAAGGAGUACAAAUGCUUUGCACCCUGCCAGGCUUCAGGCAAUGUAGCACCUUUGUAGUCAGCCCAUGGGACUCUUUUGGAGGCUGUGCCUGGCAGCAAGGGGGAGAGAGAUCCUUAUUACUACUCUGAAUGCAACACGUUGUCUCAAAACCAUCUAUAGAGCUCCAGGCCCAGAGAUGUUCCCCUACCACAGAGGCUUACUGGUGUUUCGCAGGGUCCUGGUGGCGAAUGCAGCUGCCUCCCCUGCAGAGAGGCUGAGCCUGGUCGGAGCAAGAAGCUCGGCUGCACCGCUCACCUGCAGGAGAAGGACCCAUCACUCCGUGCUGGUACCGUUGUCAGCAGUGCUCUUGCCGAUUGCAAGACUGGUGGAAGCAUCAAAGGGGUGCCCUUGGAAUGUGUGCCUAAUGAUGAUCAAUGAAAAUAGAAGCCCUGUUGCAGCGAGACUCAUGAGGUCCUGCUCACAGCUGGCACACAGAGGCAUGGCUGUAAAAAGAAGAUGCUGGGCAUCAGGACUAAUUGUCCCACCAGAUUCCUCCUCACCUUGGAAAACCCUUGUCUCCUCCCAGCAGGGGAGAUGGGCCGCCUGUCCUGGUGUGGAUACUGGUAUGCCAGCCAGAUGCUCUGCGAGCAGAUUUUCAACUUUCAGUGUCAUUUCAAAUUUCAGAAAAAUAAGUGUGGAAAACAGCCUGAUGACAGCUUUGUGACAUCCACCCCUCUACCUCCGAGUGCCUUUUAUCCGACAGGAAAACAAAACAGCCUAGCAUGCGACGCUGUGUAGAAAUCAGAAUCCCUUGUGUACUUCCAAGGAAAUCCAUGGGAGCGGGUGGACAUGGACCCAGUGGCUUAAUCCCCUUCCCACCACUCUGUGGAGCUUGUGAGAGGACGAGGAGAGGACGGAGGCAUCUGAGCCUCGGAUGGACAGCAUCUCUCCGCUGCCUGAAGCACCUCUGCCUCCGGGAAAGGAAGGGGAAUGAGGUCGAGUGACAAAGCAAACGCACAGGCUGCCGUGAGUAAUUGGACGUGGGAGAGAUCCUGUCUGCCUGGGCGCGAGUCAGCUCUGACGUGAAGGCCUGAAAAGACACUUCGGAAAUGUCAGGGCCACAAGAGCCUCUUAGUGUGACACUUGGCAGCACCAGCUCAGCAAGUGGAGGGGCAUAAACUUCCUCCACUCCCUCAGCAUAGCAAAGAGGCCACCUCAACCACCCCCUUCCCCUCCCCACCAUCCCUACCACCCACCAGAGACCAGAGGUGGCCCAGGUUCCCUCUCUCCUGGCCACGGACCCACCACAGGGACAGGUCCUCAUCCUCUCAUGACUCAGGCUGCUCUCUCCAUUAUCUAUAUGAAGUGGAGUAGAUUGAAUGUGGAGUGAUCUUUAGUUUCUCUCACUACUCAGCCCUAUUGAGUUUUCCUCCACUGUCAUCCUCUUACAUGACUGUGUCACGGUGGCCUCUGAGGCCUCUGAUAAACUUUGCUGAAGGAGCUCCCAAUUCUCAUUCAUACAUAAAUGAGUAUUUAUACAAAUACAUAUAGAUAUUGUACUCUCUCCCCUAAUAAAUUUUACUUCUGACAUUUGAGAAGUUAGCCU